rnacentral:rRNA from 1 species
GACAGAGGAUGCAAGCGUUAUCCGAAAUGAUUGGGCGUAAAGCGUCUGUAGGUGGAUUUUCAAGUCCGCCGUCAAAUCCCAGGGCUCAACCCUAGAUAGGCGGUGGAAACUCCCAAGCUGGAGUACAGUAGGGGUAGAGGGAAUUUCUGGUGGAGUCAUGAAAUGUGUUGAGAUCAGAAAGAACACCAAUGGAGAAAGCACUUUGCUGGGCCGACACUAACACUGAGAGAUGAAAUCUAGGGGAGCAAAUGGG